rnacentral:rRNA from 1 species
CGGCAACAGCUCAAAUUUGAAAUCUGGCGCAAGCCCGAGUUGUAAUUUGUAGAGGAUGCUUCUGGGUAGCGGCCGGUCUAAGUUCCUUGGAACAGGACGUCAUAGAGGGUGAGAAUCCCGUAUGUGAUUGGCUUGCACCCUCCACGUAGCUCCUUCGACGAGUCGAGUUGUUUGGGAAUGCAGCUCUAAAUGGGAGGUAAAUUUCUUCUAAAGCUAAAUACCGGCCAGAGACCGAUAGCGCACAAGUAGAGUGAUCGAAAGAUGAAAAGCACUUUGGAAAGAGAGUUAAAAAGCACGUGAAAUUGUUGAAAGGGAAGCGCCCGCAACCAGACUUUGCGGCAGUGUUCGGCCGGUCUUCUGACCGGUUUACUCGCUGUCGUGAGGCCAUCAUCGUCUGGGACCGCUGGAUAAGACCUUAGGAAUGUAGCUCCCUUCGGGGAGUGUUAUAGCCUCUGGUGAUGCAGCGCGUCUCGGGCGAGGUCCGCGCUUCGGCAAGGAUGAUGGCGUAAUGGUUGUCGGCGGCCCGUCUUGAAACACGGACCAAGGAGUCUAACAUCUAUGCGAGUGUUCGGGUGUCAAACCCCUACGCGUAAUGAAAGUGAACGGAGGUGGGAACUUUUUGUGCACCAUCGACCGAUCCUGAUGUCCUCGGAUGGAUUUGAGUAAGAGCAUAGCUGUUGGGACCCGAAAGAUGGUGAACUAUGCCUGAAUAGGGUGAAGCCAGAGGAAACUCUGG